ACUGCACCAAAAAAAGUACCAUCUCCAUCCAAGGAUAUUUUGGCCCUUCUUCGUGGUAUUAGCUGUUCCACGUUUAAAGCUAAGGAGCCAAGGGACAAUGCUUGAAUCAUCUGGAAGAAACAAGAAUUCUGGGAUUUCCUGCUGGAAACGCUCAGCUGUGUCAGGACCAGCUACCCUGUUUCCCUAGCAGAGAUGAGUACCAGUGAGUGAAAGCAGCCCCAGAUUUGCUGCUGUGCUCCCUCAUCCCCUGCAACCAGAAGACCACCUCACCAGCUUACCUG